UACAGAGGUCCCGAGCGUUGUUCGGAUUCACUGGGCGUAAAGGGUGCGUAGGUGGUGAGGAAAGUCGGAUGUGAAAUCUCCAAGCUCAACUUGGAAAUGGCAUUGGAAACUACCUUGCUAGAGGUUUGGAGGGGGGACUGGAAUACUUGGUGUAGCAGUGAAAUGCGUAGAUAUCAAGUGGAACACCAGUGGCGAAGGCGAGUCCCUGGACAACACCUGACACUGAGGCACGAAAGCUAGGGGAGCAAACAGG
rnacentral:rRNA from 1 species